rnacentral:pre_miRNA from 1 species
CAAAUACUCCCUCCGUUCGGAAUUACUUGUCGCAGAAAUGGAUGUAUCUAGAUGUAUUUUAGUUCUAAAUACAUCCAUUUCCGAGACAAGUAAUUCCGAACGGAGGGAGUAUAAA